UUAGGGGAGGUGGAUGAGUAGGGGCGGGCAGGGGAUUGGCUAAGAACCUGACUCUUGCACUCUGGCCUUCUCCCAGG
ensembl:miRNA